ACGCACGCUGGCGGCGUGCUUAACCCCUGCCAGUCGCACGGAAAGGCCCUGCUUUUGUGGGGUGCUCGAGUGGCGAACGGGUGAGUAACACGUGAGUCACCUGCCCUUGACUUUAGGAUAACUUCAGGAAACUGGGGCUAAUACCGGAUAGGAGCUCCUGCUGCAUGGUGGGGGUUGGAAAGUUUCGGCGGUUGGGGAUGGACUCGCGGCUUAUCAGCUUGUUGGUGGGGUAGUGGCUUACCAAGGCUUUGACGGGUAGCCGGCCUGAGAGGGUGACCGGCCACAUUGGGACUGAGAUACGGCCCAGACUCCUACGGGAGGAAGCAGUGGGGAAUAUUGCACAAUGGGCGGAAGCCUGAUGCAGCAACGCCGCGUGCGGGAUGACGGCCUUCGGGUUGUAAGCCGCUUUCGCCUGUGACGAAGCGUGAGUGACGGUAAUGGGUAAAGAAGCACCGGCUAACUACGUG
rnacentral:rRNA from 1 species